UACGUCGGCGACAAGCGUUAUCCGGACUUAUGGGGCGUAAAGGGCGCGUAGGCGGCUUUAUAAGUCUGAUGUGAAAGCCCGGGGCUUAACUCCGGAAGUGCAUUGGAUACUGUAAGGCUUGAGUAUGGGAGAGGGUAGCGGAGUUCCUGGUGUAGAGGUGAAAUUCGUAGAUAUCAGGAGGAACUCCGGUGGCGAAGGCGGCUGCCUGGACCAAUACUGACGCUGAGGCGCGAAGGCGUGAGGAGCAAACACG
rnacentral:rRNA from 1 species